ACCCAACAAACAUGAGACGUCCAAAGGACGUUCAGAUUAUGUCCAUAUCGGGUCGGUCGGUCCAGAACCUAAUCUGCACCUAAUCUGCACGUCUAAACGACGUGCAGAUCCAGUACAGUAUUUGGACGUCUGACUACGACGUCUUUUGGACGUUGAUAUGCAGUUCAAUAUUUGAGGGUCCGUUCUUGGACGUCAUUUAAACGUUCAAAACAGGUUCAGAAAAAAUAUAUAAAAACUUAUGCAAUAAAAACGACAUAUGAGUUCUGAUUCAAAACAAUGUAACAUUACGUUGUUGUUUUUUUAGUGAAAAAAAUGUUAUAUUUUUAUGAAUGAAUGUUCACAACGCGUGCCAAAAUCUACUGCAUUUCUUUUGUGUAAUUUGCAAAUUAAACCAAAUUCAAGUGUGAUUUACAAAAAUAAUCAACAUUGCAAUUUUAAGUUUAACCACAAGGGUGUGUAAAAGCUUAGGUGGCGAGGUGGCGCGUGAUCUUUUUUUGCACGUGAUCAACAGACGUAAUUAAGCGAGCCCCAGCCGUAAACGUACUCAACGGAUUCAACCUGCUGUGAACAGGACCUACAUACACCCCAAAGGCUCUUUUUAGAGCCAUUUUACCAAGCAUCUUUGUACAUAGUGCCGGUUUUCCUUCUGUAGUGCCAGUUUUCCUGAGAUUUUACCUCGUUCUCCACUGCCUCCAGUAAUUCCUGGUUUUAAGAUGUUAUAUAUACAUCAGGGUUCCCCAAAUCUUACCUUGGAGGGCCGGAGCACUGCAGAGUUUAGCUCCAACGCUGAUCAAACACACCUCAGCAAGCUAAUCAAGGUCUUCAUGAUCACUAGAAAAUCACAGGUGGAGUAAUGGAGUAAAGAUGCAACGGAGCAGCUGAUAAGAAAACAUGCUUAAGACCAUCUUAAACGUGCACCAUCAAGAAAGGGAGGGGUACACAAUAAAAAAAAUUUUUAACAUUACUUUUUGAAUAGAUGCACUUUUAAUUUUUUUUUAAAGUAUAUAUAUUGUUUAUUUAUGUUGUUUUUAAAUGUUAUAAUUGUAUUGUUUUUAUUUGUUGUAUUUACCUUUUAUGGAUUUGUGCACACACAAACACACACACACACACACACACACACACACACACACACACACACACACACACACAACCACAUUUAUACAAAAUAAGUUUUGAAUAAAUACGUUUAAUGGAGUGCAAAGUGUGAGUCUUUAUUUAGCUAAAUGAUGUCUGCAGUUGACGUUAUAAGACGUUGAAAAUAUGUACACAAUGACCACAUUUCAACUAAAUUUGGACCUUAAAAAGACGUCCUAUGGACGUCAUUAUUGGACGUCCAAAAGACGUCAGAAAAAGACGUCGGAAAACCUUUCAUUCUGCACCCUGAUGGGGACGUCUUUUCAACGUCUUUAUUGGACGUCCAAAAGACGUCAGAAAAAGACGUCGGAAAACCUUUCAUUCUGCACCCUGAUGGGGACGUCUUUUCAACGUCCGACAAAGACGUUGAAAAGACGUCUUUUGGACAUACUUUUGCUCAGUGG